UGGAGGAAGAGUAACAGAGAUGUCUGGAGUCAAAUGCGGGGGAUGCCCAGGGAUUUUAGCCAUUGGCACCUCAAAUGGAUAACUCUGAGCAGAUGAACAGCAGGAACCAAUACAAUUUUCUGCCUGACAAUGGCAGACCAGCAGUGACCUCCCUACAAAUCAAGACCUAUGAGCAUUGUGCUGUGGAAGAGAGCAAGUGAAACAAUUCAUGAAAUCAUAGAAUAUCUCAGAUUCUCUCUCUCCUCACUGAAGGGCUGGAAUAUCAGAAAAACAGGCCUACAGAGAUUUCUGUGUUACUUCGUCAUAAUAUUGUUUGAAUGGCUGGAACAAACACCUAAGCCAUACUGAGUAAAGUCUUUUGGAUAAAUCAGUUUGGGGACCACUGGUUGUUUAAUACUUACAUACAUUGGGAGGCCUGAGAACAGGAGCCAAAUAUCUGUGUUAUCUGACCUGCAUGCAUUGAAUCACAGGACCACAGAAUCUCUGCUGUAAGAGGAGAGCUCUUAGAUCAUCACCACCUUGUUACUGUUAAACCAUGUCCUCAGGUACCACAUCCACACCUUUUUUGAACGCUUCCAGGGACGAUGAUUCCACACUUCUGCAGGCAUCUUGUUCCAAUGUCUGACCAUUCUUUGGAGAUACAUGUUAGAUCUUAGCUGAGAUUCUUGGUCACUGAUCAUCCAAAUCUACCUGACACUUUGGUUCCCAUCCUGGAAUCACAUCCCUGUACAUGAGAGAGCACAUGGCAGAAGGGCACUAGGUCAUGCUUCUGUACUUCCUUUAGGUGGAAGUAGGAUUCAAGUUCUGCUCAUGUAUCCAUCAAGUCAGACAGGAUGAUUAGAUCAUCUGGAUCUAAACACUGGGAAGAAAGUGCAACAACUUUGAUGACUGGCCUGAGGAAUGUACCCCUGAAGAAAAAAAAGAAAAUUAAGAGGCAAUUCACCAGAUAAUCCUGAAAACCCUUCUCAUAACCCUAAAGCACACUCAUUUUCUAUAUGUGUUGUUUAGGAAGGGAUGUGUUUUGAGACUCUUCUGGUAGCUGAGAAGUCAUUUCCAUUUGCUACUAUAAUGAUGUCACAAAUUUCCCAUUUCUUAUCCUUUUUUGGCAGUAGAAGAUUUUAAGGUGUUUUUUAGUCUCUUCAAGACAAAAUGGUGUGACCAGAGUUCUGUUGUUGGGGUUUUUUAAUUUUUCUUUUUGUUAUGACUCCUUGUUCCAUUUACAGUUAUGUUUGUAUUACUCCGUCUUUGCAGGCAUAAAUUAUCCUUUCAGAUUCCUGAAUGGAUGUCAAGUGAAAUAAUUGGCAGAUUGUCUGAUUUAAUAAAUUUUUAACAUUAUGACA
rnacentral:lncRNA from 1 species